rnacentral:rRNA from 1 species
AGAGUUUGAUCAUGGCUCAGGACGAACGCUGGCGGCGUGCUUAACACAUGCAAGUCGAGCGAUGAGAUCACUUCGGUGAAGGAUUAGCGGCGAACGGGUGAGGAACACGUGAAGAAUCUGCCUUCAACUCUGGGAUAACUCCGGGAAACCGGGGCUAAUACCGGAUAUGAGCCUUGAUCGCAUGAUCGGGGCUGGAAAGUUUUUCGGUUGAAGAUGACUUCGCGGCCUAUCAGCUUGUUGGUGAGGUAAUGGCUCACCAAGGCGACGACGGGUAGCCGGCCUGAGAGGGCGACCGGCCACACUGGGACUGAGACACGGCCCAGACUCCUGCGGGAGGCAGCAGUGGGGAAUAUUGGGCAAUGGACGAAAGUCUGACCCAGCGACGCCGCGUGCGGGAUGAAGGCCUUCGGGUUGUAAACCGCUUUCAGCAGGGAAUAAGCGCAAGUGAAGGUACCUGCAGAAGAAGCACCGGCUAACUAUGUGCCAGCAGCCGCGGUAAUACAUAGGGUGCAAGCGUUGUCCGGAAUUAUUGGGCGUAAAGAGCUCGUAGGUGGUUUGUUACGUCGGUUGUGAAAUUCAGGGGCUCAACCCCUGACUUGCAGCCGAUACGGGCAAGCUAGAGUUUGGUAGGGGAGACUGGAAUUCCUGGUGUAGCGGUGGAAUGCGCAGAUAUCAGGAGGAACACCGAUGGCGAAGGCAGGUCUCUGGGCCAAUACUGACACUGAGGAGCGAAAGCGUGGGGAGCGAACAGGAUUAGAUACCCUGGUAGUCCACGCCGUAAACGGUGGGCGCUAGUUGUGCGAACCUUCCACGGUUUGUGCGACGCAGCUAACGCAUUAAGCGCCCCGCCUGGGGAGUACGAUCGCAAGAUUAAAACUCAAAGGAAUUGACGGGGCCCCGCACAAGCAGCGGAGCAUGCGGCUUAAUUCGAUGCAACGCGAAGAACCUUACCUAGGUUUGACAUGGACGUGGUACCCGGGGCGAAAGCUUUGGGGACCCGCAAGGGAGCGUUCACAGGUGCUGCAUGGCUGUCGUCAGCUCGUGUCGUGAGAUGUUCGGUUAAGUCCGGCAACGAGCGCAACCCUCGCCUCCAGUUACCAGCGAGUAAAGUCGGGGACUCUGGAGGGACUAACCCGUUAGGGUGGGAAGGUGGGGAUGACGUCAAGUCAGUAUGGCCCUUACAUCUAGGGCUGCACACGUGCUACAAUGCCUGGUACAAAAGGAACCAAGACCGCGAGGUGGAGGAAAUCCCUAAAGCCAGGCCCAGUUCAGAUUGGAGUCUGCAACUCGACUCCAUGAAGCCGGAAUCGCUAGUAAUGGUAGAUCAGCUACGCUACCGUGAAUACGUUCCCGGGCCUUGUACACACCGCCCGUCACAUCAUGAAAGCCGCUUCCGCCCGAAGUAUCCGAGCCAACCGCAAGGGGGCAGGGUCCUAAGGCAGGGGUGGUGAUUGGGAUGAAGUCGUAACAAGGUA